rnacentral:ncRNA from 1 species
GGGCACCUUCGGGGGCCUUCAACAUCGCGGGGCUCUGCCCUGCUACGCACAACGGAAGACAGAAA